GAUGUGGCGGCAUAGUGGUUCAGUGCGCUUGACCUGUGAUAAAAAGGUCCUGAGUUCAAGUCCUUGCCAUGGCU